AGACCCGAAACCCGGUGAUCUAGCCAUGGGCAGGUUGAAGGUUGGGUAACACUAACUGGAGGACCGAACCGACUAAUGUUGAAAAAUUAGCGGAUGACCUGUGGCUGGGGGUGAAAGGCCAAUCAAACCGGGAGAUAGCUGGUUCUCCCCGAAAGCUAUUUAGGUAGCGCCUCGUGAAUUCAUCUCCGGGGGUAGAGCACUGUUUCGGCUAGGGGGCCAUCCCGGCUUACCAACCCGAUGCAAACUGCGAAUACCGGAGAAUGUUAUCACGGGAGACACACGGCGGGUGCUAACGUCCGUCGUGAAGAGGGAAACAACCCAGACCGCCAGCUAAGGUCCCAAAGUCAUGGUUAAGUGGGAAACGAUGUGGGAAGGCCCAGACAGCCAGGAUGUUGGCUUAGAAGCAGCCAUCAUUUAAAGAAAGCGUAAUAGCUCACUGGUCGAGUCGGCCUGCGCGGAAGAUGUAACGGGGCUAAACCAUGCACCGAAGCUGCGGCAGCGACGCUUAUGCGUUGUUGGGUAGGGGAGCGUUCUGUAAGCCUGUGAAGGUGGCCUGUGAGGGUUGCUGGAGGUAUCAGAAGUGCGAAUGCUGACAUAAGUAACGAUAAAGCGGGUGAAAAGCCCGCUCGCCGGAAGACCAAGGGUUCCUGUCCAACGUUAAUCGGGGCAGGGUGAGUCGACCCCUAAGGCGAGGCCGAAAGGCGUAGUCGAUGGGAAACGGGUUAAUAUUCCCGUACUUGGUGUUACUGCGAAGGGGGGACGGAGAAGGCUAUGUUGGCCGGGCGACGGUUGUCCCGGUUUAAGCGUGUAGGUGUGUGUUCCAGGUAAAUCCGGUUCACUUUAACACUGAGGCGUGAUGACGAGGCACUACGGUGCUGAAGUAACAAAUGCCCUGCUUCCAGGAAAAGCCUCUAAGCAUCAGGUAACAUCAAAUCGUACCCCAAACCGACACAGGUGGUCAGGUAGAGAAUACCAAGGCGCUUGAGAGAACUCGGGUGAAGGAACUAGGCAAAAUGGUGCCGUAACUUCGGGAGAAGGCACGCUGACACGUAGGUGAAGUGA
rnacentral:rRNA from 1 species